UACAGAGGUCUCGAGCGUUGUUCGGAUUUAUUGGGCGUAAAGGGUGCGUAGGUGGCGCCGUAAGUCGGGUGUGAAAUUUCGGAGCUUAACUCCGAAACUGCAUUCGAUACUGCGGUGCUUGAGGACUGGAGAGGAGACUGGAAUUCAUGGUGUAGCAGUGAAAUGCGUAGAGAUCAUGAGGAAGACCAGUGGCGAAGGCGGGUCUCUGGACAGUUCCUGACACUGAGGCACGAAGGCCAGGGGAGCAAACGGG
rnacentral:rRNA from 1 species